ACCUAGACUGGUACCUAGCACAGAGUGGACAUUUCCAUAAUAUUCAUUCAUUGAACACACAGACCAGGUUUUAUAUCCAGGUCCAUCUACCUCUAGAGAACACACAUGUUCUUGGGGACACUGCUGCAAAGUCAAAUUUUAAAUAAUCAUUUGGAAUCUAGGCAGAAACUUCUGUCUAGGGCAGGGAUUGACAAAAUGUUUCUGUCAAGGGCUCUGUAGUAAAUAUGUUAAGCCGGUUUCUGUGGCAACUACUCAAUUCUGCCAUUGUGGUGUGAAAGCAGUUAUAAACAAUAGGUAAAUGAAUGAGGAUAACUGCAUUUCAGCAAAAACAAUGGCUAGAAACACCGACUGCAGUUUGCUGAGCCUUGCCAAAGAUCAGUAACUGUUAAACUUCCAGGGUUUAUUCAACAUAAAGCUGGUCGCAUCCUUUGCAAAAUCACAUCCAAUAACCUCACAUGGCAACCUCAGCCUAAACUUUCUCUCCUUUUUGUCAUCAAAAUGUCAGUAUUAUUUUGCAUUAUUUCUUUUUCAUUCAGAUUGCUAGAGUAAGAUCUUCUGUUUUCCUGAGCAAUUUCCAUGCAAUCCUGUUAGUCAUAAAACCCCCAAAGGCCUGGUUGAAAAGUCACAUCCACUAAUAAGGGCAAUCAUGUCUAAUAGGAGCUCUGAUUCAUUUCCCAGAUGCAAGAACACAAACCACAGUUCUGCUUAUUCCAGAUCUCAGAUGCAAACACUCAAUAGCUGAGAUGUGUUUUGCCACUGGGUGGAAUAAAACAUUUCCAGACUUUAGAAAUGCAGAGAAUCCAAAGAUGACUUUAAUGUUCGUUGGAAAACGAAUAACAACCAAGACUUCACACUGGAUACACAAGGAAACCUAUUUAUCAGUAUCAUUCAGUGUUGAGAUUCUGUCAGCUGGGCCUAAAUACGUAGUGCAGUCAUUUCGUUUUGUUUGUUCUUUUUUUCAUUUUCUUUCCAUUACUGGAUUCAUUUUGUUGAGGUUAACCUUGAACUGAUGAGAACUGAGUUCAGUCUUGAAAAUAAAUUCCAUUGUUUACCUAGUAUUGUUUUAGCUCAAUGAACUCUAUUGAGGCCAGUCUACAUCUCUGAGUAUAGGUACAGACAUUGUCUACAUGUGUGAAUCAUAAACUCCCAGGAGUUGUAGAAUUCCCAUUGGAAGGAUCUCAGGUUUGGAGAUAAUGCUAUUCCCGUCACUUAUGAUGGUAAGCUCCAAUGUUCAUUCCUGUCACUUAUGAUGGUAAGCUCCAACGUUCUUGCCAGGGUAGAGAAUAGAAAUGAAAGAUUGAACCUGUUGUUUGAUGAACAGCAAUGAAAGAAUGGUGAGAAACAGCAAUGGUCUUAGUGUCUGGAAAAAGGAAGCAGUGGAGUCUGUGACAAAUGGCAGGCCCCUUCUUCAGACAGAGUCAGUUGAGACUCAGCUUUGCCUAUCAUUGCUCUGAAGAAAUGCCAGGGUUUUCAGAUCAUCUAAUGUUCUAGUGUUGUUGUGAACUUUUCCAAUUUGUAAAUAUCAGUAACUUCGACUUGUUUUUCCCUCCAUAAAAAAAGGGCCAGACUUCAUACAUAUGACAGCUGCAUCUGGUCUAAUGGUCAUCUGCUCUGUUUAGCUCUAUGAGGGCUAUGUUUGAGAGCUCUUCUUUCAAUUAUAAAGAAAAUAAUCUUAGGGGGAAAUAAAGACAUAUCAACAACUAUCUUAAUGUAAGAGCAAGUUGAAAGGUUCUAGCAGCAAACACUGCAAACAGAGAAGUGGGAAUGCUCUGCUUAUAAAAGUCACCAUCAUCACAGAUGGGCCUUGCAGAUACAGGGCAAAAGUAGCAGUGAGGGCCCACAUAUUGUACAUUUAAUAAUUUCAGGUUAUGUACCAAAAUUUCAUUGAGUAAAAAAUAUUCUAUAUCCCAUUCCCUCACAAAUAUAUUUUCAUAAUUACAAAGUAAACAGCAUAUGCAAAUCUAUAAUAUUAAUGAUGUCAGCAAGCUACUGAAGACAAAGUAAUUUCUUUAGCACUGUGAGCGUCUGGUUGUUUGAUAUGCUUUGGCUGUGUCCCCCGCCGUCAAAAUGUCAUCUUGAAUUGUAGCUCUCAUAAUUCCUAUGUGUUGUGGGAAGGACCCAGUGGGAGGUAAUUGAAUCAAGGGGACAGGUCUUUCCCAUGCUGUUCUCGUGUUAGUGAAUAAGUCUCACGAGAUCUGAUGGUUUUUUAAGUAGGAGUUCCCCUACACAAGCUAUCUUGCCUGCUGCCAUGUAAGACAUGCCUUUGCUCCUCCUUUGCCUUCCACCAUGAUUGUGAGUCCUCCCCAGCCAUGUGGAAUUGUGAGUCCAUUAAACCUCUUUCCUUUAUAAAUUACCCAGUCUUGGGUGUGUCUUUAUUAACAGCAUGAGAACAAACUAAUACAGUGUUCUCUUCAUGGACAGCAAUAUUUAGAUGACUAAAAAUUAAAAAUGCAUAGCAUAUAAAUUGAAUAGUAACAUGAAUUUUUUUAGUAUUGCAAACUAUUUUUCCUCUGCAGCUGUCCUCUGCAGCUGCUGGGAAGACUGGGCAAGGGUUUGAGGUCCUUUAGACCCACAAAAUGGAGCAGCAGGAAGAAAGUCAGCACUCUUGGAGAAGAAGACUCCACUAUGCAGGUCUGCAGCAACCUUGCAGCAGCCAGGUGUGGCUGGCUAAUUUGUCAUUUCUCUCAUUCAAGGGCCACUUAAAUCAUGCUGCACAUCUAAGCAAGACCCGUGUCUGACAUGACAGGGACACAACACAAAUUUUUUCUUCAUCUGGACAUGAUCUCUUCUUGUUUAGAGGGCAUUAGGGAAAGAGAUGUGGGCAAGAGUUGAAUUUUGUCUGUGCAGCCUUUGUCAUGAGAAUGGAUGUGGAAGGUCACAGGCAGCACUGCCCCAGCACAGAAUGUUGGGUUUUCAGGGGCAGGGGUGCUCAUGUUCUCAGGUAUAACUUUGUGUGAAUGUGUUUGUGUGUAGGGGUGUGCCUGUAGGGUUGUGUGUGUGUAGGGUUGUGGGGCGGGGGCUGUGCAUUUGUGUAGGUGAUAGGGUUUGGGCAUGUCCCCACCCAAAUCUCAUCUUCAAUUCCCUUGUGUUGUGACAGGGACCUGGUGGGAGGCAAUUGAAUCAUGGGGGCAGGUCUUUCCCAUGCUAUUCUUGUGGUAGUGAAUAAGUCUCACAAGAUUUGAUGGUUUUAUAAGGGGGAAUUUCCCUGCACAAGCCCUCUCUCUUUGCCUGCUGCCAACCAUGUAAGACAUGAUUUGCUCCUCCUGGGGGCAGGUCUUUCCUGUGCUGUUCUCAUGAUAGUGAAUAAGUCUCAUGAGAUCUGAUGGUUUUAUAAAGAGGAGUUUCCCUGCACAAGCUCUCUCUCUGCCUGCUGCCAUCCAUGUAAGACGUGACUUAACUCCUCCUUGCCUUCCACCAUGAUUGUGGGGCCUCCCCAGCCACAUGAAACUGUAAGAUCAUUAAACCUAUCUUUCUUUUUUAAAUUGCCCAGUCUCAGGUAUGCCUUUAUCAGCAGCGUGAAAACAGACUGAUACAGUAGGUGUGUAUGUAUGUAGACGUGCUUGCGUAGGUAUGUGUGUGUAGAUGUGUAUGUGUGUAGAUGAGUAUGUAUUAGGGAUGUAUGUGUGUAUGGUUGUGUAUUGGGGUGUGUGUGUAGGGGGUUGUGCUUGUAUGGGUGUGUGUAUAGGGUUGUGUGUGCAGGUGGGUAUGUGUGUAGGAGUGUGUAUGUAUGUAAAUGUAUGUAGGUAGGUGUGUGUAAGGGUGUGUGUAUGUAUGUAGAUAUGUGUGUAGGGGUGUGUGUAAAGUUGUGUGAGUAGGGGAGUGUGUAGGUGUGUAUGUAUGUAGAUAUGUUUGUGUAGGGGUGUGUAUAGGUGUCUGUGUGUAGGGAGGUGUGUUAGGGAAGUUGUGUAGGUGUGUGUAUAGGUGUGUGUGUUGGGGUGUGUGUUGGGGUGUGUGCAUAGGGUAUGUGUUAGGGAAGUGUGUGUAGGGGUGUGUAUGUGUGGUGUGUGUGUACAGGUGUGUGUAAGGGGACAGUGUCUGUAGGGCUAUGUGUGUGUGUAAGUGUGUGUAUGAGCAUGUGUGAGUGUAGGGGUGUGUGUGCAUAGGGUAUUUGUUAGGGAAGUGUGUGUGUAGGGUUGUGUGUGUGUGUAGGGUGUGUGUUAGGGGAGUGUGUGUGUAGGGGUGUAUGUGUAGAGGUGUUUGUGUGGUGUGUGUUAGAGUGUGAGUGUAGGGCUAUGUGUGUGUGUAGGUGUGUGUAUAGGCAUGUGUGCAUAGGGUGUGUGUUAGGGGAGUGUGUGUGUUGGUGUGUGUGUAGGGUGUGUGUUAGGGUGUGUGUAUAGGGGUGUGUGUGUAGGUGUGUGUAUGGGUGUGUGUGUGUAGGGGUGUGUGGGCAUAGGGUGUAUGUUAGGGGACUGUGUUGGUAUGUGUGUAGGGUGUGCGUUAGGGUAUAUGUGUAGGGGAUUGUGUGUGUAGGUGUGUGUGUGUAGGGGUGUGUGUAGCGGUGUGUGUGUAGGAUGUGUGUUAGGGGAGUGUGUAUGUGUAGGGGUAUCUGUGUGUGUGUAGAUGUGUGUAUAGGGGUGUGGGUGUGUGUGUAGGGGUGUGUGGGUAGGGCAUGUGGUUAGGGAGUGUGUGUAGGGGUGUGUGUGUGGAUAGGUGUAUGUAUAGGUGUGUGUGUUGGGGUGUGCGUGCAUAGGGUGUGUGUUAGGAGUGUGUGUGUAGGGUGUGUGUAGAUGUGUGUAUGUAGAAUGUGUGUGUGUGAGGUUGUGUGUGUGUAGGUAUGUGUAUAGGGGUGUGGGUGUGUGCAUAGAGGUGUGCGUGUAGGGUGUGUGGUUAGGGAGUGUGUGUAGGGGUGUGUGUGUGUAUAGAUGUAUGUAUAGGUGUAUGUGUUUGGGUGUGUGUGCAUAGGGUGUGUGUUAGGAGAGUGUGUGUAGGGUUGUGUAGAUGUGUGUGUGUAGGGUGUGUGUGUAAGGGUAUGUGUGUGUGUAGGUAUGUUCAUGGGGUGUGGGUGUGUGUGUAGGGGUGUGUGUGUAGGUUAUGUGGUUAGGGAGUGUGUGUAGGGGUGUGUGUGUGUUGGGGUGUGUGUGCAUCGGGUGUGUGUUAGGGGAGUGUGUGUAGGGUGUGUGUAGAUGUGUGUGUGUAGGGUGUGUGUUAGGGUGCGUGUGUAGGUGUGUGUAUAGGGGUGUGCAUGUGUGUGAUAUGAGUCACUCUACAGUGCAGAACCCCAGACAGACCUCCCCUUGCUUGCCUGAAAGAGGGGCGCUGCUGCAGGAGAAUUCUAAGGGCAUUUCUUGACUCAGUGAACAUUUGUCCUAGGGCCCCUGGAGUAUCUCACCCCAUUCCCAGGGAUAGGGGAAUGUAAGGACCCAGCACACCCUGUGUCCUUGGCUUAGGGUAUGAAGUUCUUCCAACAGAGAUGCCAGGAGAUGUGGCACCAGCGCUUCACUGCUAAUGGGAACUUGCAGGCAAUGUCCACCCUGGGUUGUGUAGGGGUGGGAUGCCGUCUUAACAAGCUCCUUCUAAUCAUAAACACUGUUAGUUAAAGGUGGGUUUGCAACAAUAUUCUAAAUACAGCAGUUCAUAUUCUCAUACAAAAUAGUUUAAUCUUUAAAACUUUUUUUUUCCAAAUUAAUUGUUGAUGAGACAACAGGAAAUACUAAGGAGAAAACUCUAGAACUACCUUUUCUGAAUUAAAUUGUUUCACAGGAGUUAAUAAAUUUUUACUCUGACUUAACCAAAAUAGGAAGAAACAGACCAUUUAUAAUUUGUCAUCUGUGUGUUAAUGCAAGAAAUAUUAUGGCAAGGUCCAGCUAGUGCAACCAUUAGUGAAAACUUCAAUGUAAAUGAAUAUACAUUUAUAUGUUUUAAUGAGUCUGAACAAAAUAAGAUAUGUACAAAUCAUUUGUGUAAUUAUCUGCAGUGAUUUUUUUUUCCUAAGAUGGAGUUUCGCUCUUGUUGCCCAAGCUGGAGUGCAAUGGCAAGAUCUCGGCUCACUGCAACCUCUGCCUCCCGGGUUCAAGUUCUUCUCCUGCCUCAGCCUCCCGAGUAGCUGGGAUUACAGGGGCUACAGGCGUGUGCCACCACGCCCGGCUAAUUUUUUGUAUUUUUAGUAGAAAUGGAGUUUUACCAUGUUAGCCAGGCUGGUCUCGAACUCCUGACCUCAGGCGAUCCGCCCUCCUCGGCCUCCCAAAGUACCGGGAUCACAGGCGUGAGCCACCGCGCCCGGCCGACAGUAAGAUUUUUAUUGAUCGCCUUUAAUAUGCAUAGCGAGCAUGAAAUAAGAGAAAGUUUAACUAGUUGGCGUCAGAUGUUGAAGGGCAUGAACGUCACGUACCUAUAGAAAACCACAUUCUUUCCCCGAACGAGGCUUGGGUGCAACGGGUCUGUGUUUGCCUUUUCACUUUGCUUUAACUACUCUCUACUUCUUUCUCUUUUUAAAAGACACAUUGUUUCUUUAAUAAGCUAAUUCCUUCAGUUCAGGUUUGCUGUGGUCAGGGAGACCUUCCAUUAUCCUAAAGUAAUUUUGCCUUAAUUCUGCUCUGAUCUAUUAAGUUGGCUUCUGGAUUUACUCUCAAAAGGCAAUCUCGACCUCACUCCUGUAUUGGAUUCUUAGAGAUGAUACCUCAGCAUAACUUUUUUGUGUAUCCCAGGUUUCAAUGCAUGCAGUGAUAUGUAGCGCAUCAGGAAAUCAAUGUAAAGAUAUUCUCUAGAUUGACUUUCCUGUAUAUUUGACCUCUUUUUCUAGCCAUUUUUAAAAAUUAAUAUGACAACCAUCUUAAUCUUUAAAGCCACUAUUAUGUAAGUUUUCAUCCCUAACCAGAGAUCUUGGAAGACUUAGGGGUCUUGGAAGACUCAGGCACGUCGUGUGAUGCUGUACGUUAAAACAAGAAAAUGAAAAGAAAAGAAGUAGAACUGGCCGGGCACGGUGGCUCACACCUGUAAUCUCAGCAUUUUGGGAUAUUGAGGUGCACGGAUCACCUGAGGUCAGGAGAUCAAGACCAGUCUGGCCAACAUGGUGAAACCCCAUCUCUACAAAAAUACAAAAAUUAGCUGGGCAUGAUGACGGGUACCUAUAAUCCCAGCUACAUGGGAGGCUGAGGCAGGAGAAUUGCUCAAACCCGGGAGGUGGAGGUUACAGUGAGCCGAGAUCACGUCACUGCACACCAGCUUGGGUGACAGGGCGAGACUCCACCUCAAAAAAAAAAAAAAAAAAAAAAAAAAAAGAAGAAGAAGAAAAAGAAAAAAAAAAAGGAAAGAAAAGAAACAGAACUGCAGCAACGAAACAACUCUCUUGUUCUCAUCAAGAGAGUUGUUUCAUUGCUGAACAUAUAAAGAGGUCUCAUUGCGUGGAAACUCUUCUGUGUUGUCCGGGGCGAAUCCGAUGGGAAGUCAGAGCCCAGGUGCAAAGCCAAUGCUUCCACUUCGUGUCAGUUUUACUUGAGUGAGUUUCAUCUGAUCUCUGUGAAAAUUGACAUUUUGACCCGUAAAACAGAAAAAUCAUUAGGAAAUUUCCCUGCAGGAUUAUUGUACAUGUUUAUAAAGCAUGCAAAGGUUUUAGUGUAUGAGGGACGUGUCACACAGCAAACCAUCAAUAACUGUUUCCUAUUAGCACUGCCAUCAUUGUUAAGACUCUAUUUACUAUCACUACUAUUAGAUUGGGGUGAACAAGUAAUUGCUGUUUUGCCAAAACCGCUAGAGUGCAGUGGCACCAUCUCAGCUCACUGCAACCUCCGCCUUCUGGAUUCAAGAGAUUCUCCUGCCGCAGCCUCCCGAGUAGCUGGGAUUACAAACGCAUGCCACCAUGCCUGGGUAAUUUUCUUAUUUUUGGUAGAGAUGGGUUUUCACCAUGUUGACCAGGCCGGUCUCAGACUCCUGACCUCAAGUGAUCUGCCCGCCUCGGCCUCCCAAAGUUCUGGGAUUACAGACCCAUGAAUUUUAACACUGGAUUUUACCUCAGUCUUGUGCUUUCGGGAAAACAGCACCAGUGAGAACUUCCACCACUUCUGUGUGCCGGGAAAUGGCUCACCAUAUAUUCCAAAUGUCCCCCUCCUGUACCUCUCCUCAGUGACAGGUCCCUGGUCCAUUCUUCCUCCAGAUUCCCACAGGACUCACGUCUACCUGCUUGUGUGGGAUCUCAGGCUCCUUUCUUUCCUUUGAGCUAUUUCUGAGUCAUUCUCCUGAUUUCAAUCACCAGAAUAAAAUCACCACCUUUCUCGUGUGGAGCAUGUGUCUUUCACAUCUGUCUAUGAAUUUCCACAUCUGUAGAAGGUACUGCUACUAGGACUAUGACCUUCUUUAUGGGUUUGUUGUGGAUUUUAGACGCACUUCAAGUGCUUAGCAAAAUUCUUGACACUCAGUAAGGACUCGUUGGAGACAUCUAGCAGCAACGCAUGUGCAUAGUGAUUAAUGCUGCAUGAGACAAUGCUGGAGCUCACUUUAGUUUAAUCACUGCAACAAUUAUUCUUGAGACAGGGAUUACUUAUUCCCAUUUUGCAGAUUGGAAAACUGAGAAAGAUACUCUGGCCUGCUCAAAGCACUCAUCUAGCCGGGUAAAGCUGAAAUUUGAACCCGGACAGUUCUCAUCCAUGCUGUAGCUUAGAGAUAGCUCAUCUAGCUGUAGUGAUGGCUCUGAGCAGCAGGGAGUGUGAGCUUUGGGGAGAAGAUAGGAUCUGAUACUGGUUUCCCAUCUUCCCUCUCCCACAGCAUCUUAAUAUGGGUUUGUCCUCCCAGGAGGGGACUGUGGGAGCUGGUCAUUCCACCUCGGACAACAGAAUAAUCUUAAAGUAUCACAACAGCUGAGUUGAGGCAUAAUCUUUCUAGGCCAAUGGAACUAGCCCUCCAAGCGUUCUCCUAAUUGAUAUGCCCAGAGCGAAUCCGAUUGGAACAGGAAAUCGGCCUGCCUGUGCAAAACUGACCCAUCCAAUCCUGGCAUGUUGACGGCCACUUACUCCAGCCUUAGAAAUAUGCCUGGCAUGUAGAUUUAGUGACAGAAAUAAUUAGCUAUCAGAAUGGAUCAAAAACUUCUUUUUAUGAAACUAAUUCAUUUAAAGUGCUUAUUUAUAAGCGUGUCUAUAUUAGCAUUCUUUUAAACCAUGAUAUCAAUUUUAGUCUAUUGUUAACCUAAUGAGCACUAAAGAAUCUGCUGAAUUCAGCAGACAUUUAUUGACUAUUUUACUCCCUGCCAGGCACUGUGCUAGGUGCCGCAUAGAAUGACGUGAUGCAUUUUCUUUUUAUUUAUUUAUUUUUGAGAUGGAGUCUCACUCUGUCACCCAGGCUGGAGUGCAAUGGUGUGGUCUCGGCUCACUGCAUCCUCCACCUCCUGGGUUCAAGCGAUUCUCCUGCCUCAGCCUCCCCAGUAGCUGGGACUACAGGCACCCACCACCACACCCGGCUACUUUGUAUUUUUAGUGGAGAUGGGGUUUCGCUAUGUUGGCCAGGCUGAUCUCAAACUCCUGACCUCGUGAUCUGCCUGCCUCGGCCUCCCAAAGUGUUGGGAUUACAGGCGUGAGCCACUGCACCCAGCCAACGUGAUGCAUUUUCAGAAAGCAAGCAAUCUAGUGUGGAUGGCGGAGGAAAUAUAAUUGGAUAAAUACACAAAUCCUUUCCUUCUCCCCUUCCUCUUUUCUUCCUUUCCUCCUUCCUCCCUCCCUUCCUCCUUCCUUUCCUCUUUCCUUCAACUCUUGUUUAGUAUUUACUCUGUGGCAGACACUGAGUCUAUAUUGGAGAAUAUAUCAGCCAUAUUUUCUGUUUUCUAGAAUUUAUAAUCUGAUGGAGAAGAAAAACAAUAAAAAGUGAGAAACGCUUUGAAGUGCAAUUUCAGAGUAUUUUACUUAAGGAGGAGAGUGAGUGCCCGCAGAAUGGUUGUUCUAUCCAGAAUCGUUCUGCGUGGCCACGGCGGGAAGUCACUUCAUGUCUCCUUCACCUUUGUGAAGCAGCCUCAGAUUCCUUUGCAGCCUGAGGCUUUGGCCAGGCACAAGGGUUCAUUGAUAUGGUUUAGUUGGCACUUACUCUUACACAUUCUGUUGCUUCAAACAGAAACACUAGUAUCUUUCUCACCCCUUUCAGAGAGAGUUUUUUUUUUUUUUCUUUUCAUCUAACCUUCCAAAGAAUUCUAUUCUGUGCAGAUGUUGGUGGCAGGAUGUUAGAAAAUUCCCUGGCAAAAGACUGAGUCUGUCUUUCUGACAAAAAUAAACAAACAGCCAAAUGUGUAGGAAGGACAGAGUUGAAAUAGCUGGAGAUAGUAGGCUAUUUAGUUUUUCAUAGAAUCCUGGCCUUUCUGUCAAGGUGGAGUUGUCAUUUUUCCAUGCUGGGAUAUAGGUAGAAAGUGGGUUUUCUUUCAGCUGUCAUAGAUUUGGGGGAAGAACAACUUUUUUUUUUAGAACACCCUGUCUUCAGGGCCUCUCAGUUGCCUAUCAGCAGUAUGAGACAGAAAUGGGCAAAAUCUGAGAAAAAAAAAACCAUCCUACAUUUUAGAUUCUACAAGGCUUUUCUUUUGGGACUUUUUUCUCCAAGUGAUAAUAACAACCCUACAAAACACAGGAACACAGAAACCAAUCCAGAAUAGAUUUUGCAAACUGUUUAAAACAAGUCUGCCAGAAAUCAAUCACCCCUUUCCACUUAAACAAGAAAGAGUGACACUCACAGUCUUACCUUCAGAAAAUUGUACUGACUAAUGAGAUUCUAAGUUGUAUUGGGAAUGAUCUGUAUCUUAAAUUAUAUAAAUUGAGGAAACCAUCUGUCCAUCACCUGUAAUCACACAUGAAAAGAACAAUAAUCAUAUCUGGUACUCAUCAACUACAGUAUAUUUGUCAAUGUUUUCAUAUAUAGUAUUUUAUAAUAUGCUUUGAGACAAUAGUUUCACAUGUCAAGUUGGUGAUAUAUAUCAACAAUUUGAAUUCACAUCAUUUAACAAGAAAAGUGGGCUGAAUCUUACCAGACAAUAGUUUCCUUUUCUUGGGGACAAUUUUCUCCCUCCCUCUCUUCCUUUCUCAUCCUCCUUUCCUUGCUCUUUCUAACAAUGGGGUGACCAGCGUGAGUGAAAUAAUACUGUUGAACCAGGCAAGGCUUAGGGGCCUGAGACUGAUGCAGCCUCUCUGGACCACAUAAAACUGGGAGAUAAGUAAAGAGAAAACACAGUGAAGACAGACUUUACACUUUCCCAAAUUAAAAUAGUUUAGUUUAUUAUAAAAGUGAUAAUAUGACCAUUUAAAAAAAGCAGACAAUACUGUGAAUUAUAAAGAAGAAAAAAAUCACUUAGUAAUCUCUUAGAGACCAACUCCGCUACAUUUUGAAAUCUGUUUCCAGAAUUUACUCCAUGUUUACAUAUUUGUGUAUAUAAUUCUGAAAAGGACAAUCUGUAAUAAUUCAAAACAAAAAAUAUCUUAACAUUAAAAAAAUUUAUACCAAUAUAGACCUGUUUUAUCAUUUUUUAUUUUAUUUUGAAAUUUUAUUUAUUUAUUUAAUGUUUGAGAUGGAGUCUCUGUUGCCCAGGUUGGAGUGCAGUGGCAUCAUCUCGGCUCACUGCAACCUUCACCUCUCAGUUCAAAUGAUUUUCCUAUCUCAGCCUUCACAGUAGCUGGGACUACAAGCAUGUGCCACCACACCUAGCUAAUUUUUGUAUUUUUAGUAGAGACACGGUUUCACUAUGUACGCCAGGCUGGUCUCGAACUCCUGACCUCAAGAGAUCCACCCACCUGGGCCUCCCAAAGUGCUGGGAUCACAAGCAUGCGCCAACCACCAUGCCUGGCCUUUUUUCAUUGUUUUAAAAUGACACAUAAUGGUCUUUGCAUAAAUCUACAAUAAUUUAAUAACACCCCUAUCAGUGGUUAAUUCAGCUUUUGAUAUCUUUUAUUCAGCAGCGAUGCUAUGGAAAGUUGAACUCAGAAGUAGAGAGUAGAAUGGUGGUUAGGAGGGGCUGGGAUAGGGGUGGGGAUUGGGGAGAGUUUGGUAGAAGGAUAUAAAAUGUCAGUCAAGUGGCUAAGUACAAGAGAUCUAUUGUACAACAUGGCGACUAGAGAUAAUAACAACGUACCGUAUUCUUGAAACUUGCCAAGAGAGUAGAUUUUAGGUGUUCUCACCACAAAAAAAGAUGUCUGUGGAGUAAUGCAUGUGUUAAUUAGCUCAGUUGAGCCAUUUCACAAUCUAUACAUAUUUCAAAACAACCUGUUGUACAUGAUAAAUAUAUACAAUUUUAAUUUGUUAAUUGAAAUAAAUAAGUAAAUAAUGUUAAAAAAAAUAAAAGCAAUGCUCUGAACAUUCUUACAUACACACUCCUGCACUUGUCUUUUUCUUUCUUUAAAUCAGUUUCUGCCUGUGCAGUUGCUGGAUCAAAAGUUGUCGACAUUUGAAUUUUGAUUCAUUUUGCCAGAUGGCCAUCUAGAGAGGUUGAAAAAUUUGUAGUUCCAUAAAGAAGAGCGUGCCUGAUGUUAAUCCCAGGCAGAUGGGAGAAGAGAGCAUUUAAAAUUUUAUACAUGGUGGGGAUCUUGAGCCUCUUGAGUGUGCUUUGGAUGCACUGACCCUUCUGAGCUCUCAAGAAUAUCUCUGCCUUUUCCAGAGGUUUCACCCAUGGAGGAAGUAUGCAAUAAGUGCACCUAACUUUCUCCAGAUUUCAUCCUUAUCAGGAGGAGGAAGCCAUGAGGGCAGAAGCCUGGGAGACUGGGUAGUUUUGCCACUGGCCAGGUGAGAUUUUGUCCUGGUUUUGUGUGACAUUGCUCGUGACAGCUUAAACAUCUUGCACAAUCACUGUUUUACUCAGUGCAUACUACUUGCUUGUAAAAGUAUCGCAAAAAUAGUUUGGGAAGAUUCAUACUAAAUAAACAAUGAUUUUGGAGGGUGACAUUGGAAGGGCAAAGGUAAUUUUGUGUUUAAUUUUUUAAAGUGCUAUUUAAGUAUUUUAAAGUGUAUUUGGGAUGUUGUGAUUUUUAUAUAUUAAAUGAAGUAUUUGUUGAUUGAAUGGACUGGAUUUUUGAUGGUGGAGUUAUUGUAGGUUGAUGGUAGGGAAACUUCUUGUUGGAAAAACAGAAAUACAAACAAGAGAAUCUCUUAUUGAAAAAUCAGGAAUAAAAAUUAGUCACACGGGUAGGGAUGAUCAUACUGUAUUCAUUUUCCCUCAUAAACUCCACACUAAACAAAUAUAUAGGCCGGGUGCGGUGGCUCACGCCUGUAAUCCCAGCACUUUGGGAGGUCGAGGUGGGCGGAUCAUGAGGUCAGGAGAUCGAGACCAUCCUGGCUAACACGGUGAAAACCCAUCUCUACUAAAAAUACAAGAGAUUAGCCGGGUGUGGUGGUGGGCGCCUGUCAUCCCAGCUACUCGGGAGGCUGAGGCAGCAGAAUGGCGUGAACCCGGGAAGCGGAGCUUGCAGUGAGCCAAGAUUGAGCCACUGCACUCCAGCCUGGGCAACAGAGCAAGACUCUGUCUCAAAAAAAGUAAGGAUAGGACAGACAUCUAAGAACUAGGGAUACAGGAGAAUAAAAUAGAUGCAGUUCUUGCAUGGUCUAUUGAGAAAGAUCAGAUAUUGUUCAAUUCAUUUCAUGUCCCUGAAUACUACAAAAGGCAAUAAUUAUAAUUAACAUUUAGUGAGCAAUUGCUGCAUGCCAGACAUUAUUGUUUAAGGUACUUUAUGUAUAACAUAUUUCUUUAAUUACCAUAACUACCCUGAGAUCUGGGUAUUACCAGAUUGUACAAUUUAGUAAGAACUUAGGCAGUGAAAGAUUAAGUAAUUUGCCUAAGGUUACAUGAUAUAAUCAAUCAAAUCUGAGCUAUUAUCAACUAUAAGAUAUAUGUACUAUUAAAAUGCUGCCUAUUAGCAAUAUAAAAUGCCUCUUACUGAAAGACUAACUUCAGAGAUAUUAGCAUGUAAAAAAAGUCCAUAUUUUGUUCAGUGAAAUAUGGUAGUUAGCAAGUGUUUACACCUGUAAUGUGAACACUAUGUCUGUCUCUCCCAAAAAUACACUUCUGAAACUAUGCGGUUAUGUUAUUGACCAUUAAUCAACAUUGUAUGCGUGAUGCUUGCUUCUAUUGGAGUCCCUAGCUAAUGUUAUUCUACAGAAACUUCAAGGAAAACUGGGAAUUGUGGACCAAGUUAGCUAAGCACUUUUACAGAGAUUCAUCAUUAAUCUAAAACCCAAAGAGUUAAUAAAAGUAAGCCAAGAAGAUAAAUUAACAGCAUUCUCUGUAUGCACAAGAAUACCAUGUAUUAGAAGAAGCAGAAAGAAUCCUGACUGACGGAUGUUGGGAAGUGGGGUGGAAGAGGGGUGAAUAUGAGAAUGAUGAGGUCGGGGACUCAGGGGGCCCAAGGAAGAUACGUUUUUUAAUGAGAGAGACUUGGAGAUACUUAAAUGAAGAUAGAAAGAAUCCAGGAGUAAGGAAAAUGUUGACUACACAAGACAGAGAACAGACACUCAUACUCUAUGAUGACUGAGCAGGUGAGAAGACCUGAGAUGGAAGCACACAGGAAAGCGGUGGCUUUCAAUUCAGUAGAAUAUUUCUUCCAGGCAACAAGAGCAAAGGAAGAGAGCACAUGAAGUGCUGGGAACAGUCCACAUAGACUAACAAUAAAUUAUGAAUAUUUCUGAGGGUGCACCAGCGCUGGAUGGCAUCAAUGUCACCCACACGGUUCUGCACAGAUGGGAGGUUAUGCAUCAUUUUAAGCUUUAGGUGAUAAAGGCCUGGACCCAGUGACGAUGGCGCAGACAGAGAAGAAGAAUGGAUGGUUUUUUAAAAAAUUAGCUUUAUGCCCUAGUUUCUUCAGUUUCAUUCCCUCCUAAAAAUCAACCAAAAUACAACAUUCAUUGCUUUGUCUUUUCACUACGACUUCUGAGCAUCAGCCUUGCCCUAUUUUUGUAGGUCCUGAGUCCUUCCAGUUUCAGCUCAGAUGCUAUAUGCCUUCUCUGUUUCUUCUCUGCUACCCUUGGAAGUAAACAUGCCCUCCUGUGAGGUCCCUCACAUUAGUAAGAAUGUUUUAUGUUACUUCUUUUGUGUCCUCUUAUUUCCUAUCUCAGUUGAUAAUGAUUCAUGUUCCAGUUAUCUCCUUCAUGACUUUACAAAACCGUGAUCUCUGGGGCCAUCUUUCUUCCUCCAUCUUUGCACCUGCCCCAUCAUAGCUGGAUGUGGUACUGCUAGGUUAGCACUUGUUCAACCAACUGGACAUGGGCACAAGAAGGAGAGAGAUUAUCAGUGAUGAUUAUUAGGUUUUGAUGCCUCCUUUGGAAGCAUCUUCUUUGAUUCUUCCUUUGGAAGACUAGAAGGCAGAUGAUUGUCACUGGCAACAGCAGAAGAAUUUGGAAUAAUGGUUUAUGGAGGGAAGGUAUACAUUUAUUUUUGGCUUAUGGUUGCAUUUGGGAAGACUUUGACACUAAGAUGGGAACUGGAUUUCUGAUACUACAUUGGAAGACUGCAGGCAAGGGGACCUGUGCCUCUGCAGACAGAGCAUCUGGUACAGUCACACAGCUCACCUGCACACCCAGGAGAGGCCAGGCUAAUCCCUCAACCUCUCCCAGUCUGAUCUCCCUCACUCUUCCAAUGGAGGUGAUGAGGAUGUUAAGAAAAAAAAAACAAAAGCCCACCUUAUCUCAGAAGUAGUAAUAAAGAGGAAAGAAGGUGAGUUCGUAAAAACACCUUUAAAAGCUUUAUAAGACUUAAUAUGUCAAUAGUUAUUACUAUGAAAUGUCCAAAAAAUGAUUUCCCUUGAGGAACAGAGUGAGCUUUGAAGCCAGAUGCCAUGGUAGUCCCUACCUCCAGAAGUAAGUAUGUUAGUAAGUGUGAAUUCCUCAAGACAGUAUCUGGAAGUGGAUGAGCACUCAAUAAAUAAGAAUAAAACACUUCCUACUAUGCUCAUUGUUAUUUAUAUAUGGAUCUGCAAAUUGGAUGAGAGUAUAGUAGGAGCAUCAUUGUAUAAAGUCUUGCUGAUUAAAAGAGACAAGAAACAAGAUCUAAUUGGGGAAAUUUCCUCAAUUGGGUUAUGUGAGAAGAAGCAGCUCUCACGCACAUGGUGUGUUUUCUUAGAGCCAGCUCUAAUUAGAGCUCAAAAUCACCCACUUUCCUCAUAUGGCUCGGGGAAAUAUGGCCCUGUUUUCUCCCUCUGGAGGCUAAGGGAGAUGUUUUUCUCAAUCUACAGAAGAGACAAAUAAACACAACCUGGGUGUGGCAGAAGCACCCCCUGCUUGGGCUUACCUUCCUCAGUCCCCAUCCAGGACAGAACUCAGAGGACAGGGCCUUGCUUUCUGAUUUCUCAUUCUGUUCUCCAGAGUUGCUUCCUUUUACACUAGGCAGGUUUCUAGGGAACUGGGCAGCAGGUGUAGGUGGAUGACUAGAGGGAAGCUGUGGGAAACAGGCAGGCGAAGCCAGCAGUGGGACCGGCCGCGCUUCUCUGACUCUCGACCCAGGGUGGGUGGCAUAUCACCCAUAGGAAGGACCUCCGAGGCCCAGCGAGGUUUCCCCAGAUGCUGUCAGCAUGGAACCUCUUGUCAUGAAGCAGUAAAUGAAGACCCGCUGGGAGCUUGCUGUCCCCGUGAGCUCUCACCUUCAAACAGGGAAGCUGGCUGACAAUUGUUCUGCUAAAUUUAGCCGUAGACUGGGAGUCCAGGCAAGUGCCUAUGUGGCCAAAUGAGUAAGCGUUGGCCAUACGACUUGUUUUGUCUACAGUGAUCUAGAGACACUUCGAAUUCUGCUUGGCUUCAGCAAGCUAAGCCCUUUCAAAUUCACUAUUUCUCUCACAGCCAUUCUGUUGUGAGCAGGAGAUAAAACAAAUAGUAACCUUCACUUCCUUUCAUCCAAGGAUCAAUGUUUUAAAAAAGGAAAAAAAGCAAAGCAAAACAAAGCAUCUCUAGGCAACCGGUUCAAAAAAGAAAAAAGGUUCCCGUUAGCAAGGCAUAUGCCCAGAGCACUUGUGCUGUUGCAGUAUAUGUGUUUGCUGUUUUGCUUUAUGAUUUAACACGUCCUUCUGUGAUGAGAUUCCCGUGAAUAUGUUGUUAAUUGCUUCAAAUUCACCAGAUUAGGGAAGCCAGCUGUCUUCCCUAAUGUGUUAGUUAUUUUUAUGUGUCAACUUGGCUAGGCCACAGUACCCAGAUAGUUGGUCAAAUGAUGUUUCUGUGAAGGUAUUUUUAAAAUUUAAGUUCCAUUAAAUUACAUUUUAAUUUUAAAAUUUAAAUCAGCAGACUUUGAGUAAAGCAGAAUACCCUGUAUGGUGUGGGUGGGCCUCAUCCAAUCAGUAGAAGGCCUGAAUAGAAAAAGCCUGAAUGCCAUGAGAAGCGGGAAUUCUGCCAGCUGACUGCCUUUGACUGUGAGCUGCAACGUCAACAAUUCCCUGGUCUUCAGCCUGCCGGUACACUCUGAAAAUUUUGGACUUAACAGUCCCCAUAAUUGCAUGAGCCAAUCCUUCAAAUAAAUCUCUCUCUCUCUCUCCCCCCACUCUUGUUUUUUGUUUUUCUCUCUCUCUCUCUGUCUUUCUCUCUCGCUACACACACACACGUGCAUGCACACACAGUGUAUUCACCCUGUUUAUUCUGUUUCUCUAAAGAACCCUAAUACACCUGCCACCUUAUAAUCUGCCAUUUCUUGCUUUUCUUUUUAGAGACUCCAGGUAGACAUCUUGGAUAGAGUGGUCAUACCAGAUUUAGCAAAUACAAAUACAGGAUGCCGAGUUAAGUUUGAAUUUCAGAUAUACAAGAAAUACUUUAGUAUAAGUAAAUCACAUGCAGUAUUUGGGAUAUACUUAUACUGAAAAAAAUAUUCAUUGUUUAUCUGAAAUUCAAACUGAACUGAGCAUCCUGUAUUUUAUUUGGCAAUCCUAAUGCCAGUAUCACUAUGGAAGGAGAGGUUAGUUUUGUUCUUCUCUGUGAUUCAGACAAUACCUAAACUCAGCUCUUUUCUCCAAUCUUUGGUCUUCUUCUUCUUUAGGUUCCAGCCCUGGCUAGCAUGAAGCCAUGACCCUUACUGUUGUUAUACCUUCAACACCCUGUCCCAUGUUCUCUCAUCACCUCAGAAGAAAGAUACUCUGAAACUGUUCAUUAUCUAUUCUAUAGAUUCUGUCCUUUGCAAGAUUAGGACCACUUACCUUCUGACGUGAUUGUGGAUACAUUGUCACCAUAGCCCUAAAUUUGGGGAAUCCCUUUCUGAUUUCAAUAGCCCUCAGUUGUUAUCAUCUUGCCUUUGUUUCUUUCCCUUUUUUUAUAUAUUUUAUUUUGAGAUGAAGUCUUGCUCCGUCAGCCAGGCUAGACUGCAAUGGCAUGAUCUCGGCUCACUGCAACCUCCACCUCCCGGGUUCAAGUGAUUCUCCUGUCUCAGCCUCCCAAGUAGCUGGAUUAUAGGUGUAUGCCACCAUGCCCAUCUAUUUUUAUUUUUUUAAGUAGAGAUGGGGUUUCACCAUGUUGGCCUGACCUCAAGUGAUCCACCCACCUCAGCCUCCCAAAGUGUUGGGAUUACAGGUGUGAGCCACUGCGCCCAGCCCGCCUUUUGUUUCUGAAUGCCUCAGUUCUGGCCCCUGUGACUGACGGCUCCUUUUCCUAACUCCUAGGAAUGUCAAUGGUGUUCCCCUGGGUUUCAAAACACUGUAGUAUCAAAAUCACGAUAAAGGAGGAAUUAGGAUUAAGAUCUACCACUGUAGGUCAUCCCUUCUCAUCCUAGCCACUCAAUAACUAUUUGUGGAAUAACAUACAAAUGGCAUUAUUUAAUAUUGUAGAUAAAAAUCUUCAUACAACCUUAGGGUUAAACAAUCCUAGAAAGUCUGUAUUAUGGCCACUUGUCUCAUGUUCAGAACUCUCCCUUCCUCCCAUCCAAGUAGGAUGUGAGUCGUGGAUGAUAUUUAAUAAUGAUGAUAGUUAAUGUCUCUUCGUCCUUACUGUGUUUGAGGCACAUAGACUUUAGGAAGGAGAUACCAGUGUCAUCAUAAUUGUACAGGUGACCAAACUGAGGUGCACAUGGCUAAAGGCUUUUUCAAGGUCAUUUGGCAAGAUAAUGGCAUUGGGACCCAGGCCCCUUUAAAUCCAAGUUACCAUCAGGCUUCUACAGGUCAUGUGCCUGAGCACUUCUUGAUAAGAGACUUACAUAUUAACAGGCAUCAUUUUUGUUUUUAAAGUUCUUCCUGCAAAGCAAUUCCCAAGUGUUCCUUGAUGUAUGGAGCAGAGAUUGAAGAGCUGGUGAAGAGUUUUCUUAGUCGUGUGCACGUAGUCAUGUGCACAGAUACAGGGUCUGUGGUAUUGGCUAGUCCUGGGGCACUGAAUUUACUAAGGGUCAUGUUACCUGCUUAGAUCUGAGAUGGGGGUGGGAUUAGAAAGUGCAUGCCUGCUUCCAUGCCAUAAAGAACCUACAUUUGAUAGAAAAUGAUUUUUACUAUUCUGACCAUUCAAAGUAAUUAUUGAGUAUGCAUGAUGUAGCAUCCAUCAGCUAAACUCUCGAGCUCUGGACCCAACUCUCUUGCACUUGAGUCUUGGCUCGGCCACAUACUAGCAGUGUGCAUAAGGGUUUUAUGCGCACCCUCUGUUAUUCAGUUCUCUCAUCUGUCAAUGGGGUAAUAAUUAUACUUACUUCAGCCAGGUGUGGUGGCUCACGCCUAUAAUCCCAGCACUCUGGGAUGCCAAGGUGGGCAGAUCACCUGAGGUCAGGAGUUUGAGACUAGCCUGGCGAACAUGGUGAAACCCUGUCUCUACUAAAAAUACAAAAAAAUUAGCCAGAUGUGGUGGUGCACCCCUGUAGUCCCAGCUACUUGGGAGGCUGAGGCAGGAAAAUCACUUCAACCAGGGAGGGGGAGAUUGCAGUGAGCCAAGAUCAUGCCACUGCACUCCAGCCUGGGGGACAAGAGUGAGACUUUGUCUCAAAAAAAAAAAAAAAAAAAGGAAAGAAAGAAUUAUACUCACCUCAUCAGAUUAUUGUGGGGAUUAAAUUAAUAAAAUAAAGAAAGCUUUUAGAAUGGUGUGCUCCAACAUAGGUGCCAUGCAAACAUUUGUGGUUAAUUGUGUUCUUGUUUUCCAUGCAGAUAUAGACAAUGGGGACACAUUUUGUUUACAAUAUAAACAAAGUACAGGCCGUCAUGGGAUAUAUCUAUCACUAGGAUCAUGAGAAAAUUACUAAAUAACUAUGUAAGUUAAUUUAAGUUAAUGAUAAAUGCUAUGAAGACAAAUUAAGCAAGGUGGAGGUUGAAAGGGUGAUGGGCAGGGUCUUCUUUAAAAAAGGUGAUGAGCAAACACAGUGACUUAACAUGAAGCCCUGGAGUCAAAAAUACAAAUGGCCAAGAAAUUCCAUGCUGAGGGAGUUCCCUGGGUCAUGGCAAUGUCAGUGAAGGUCUUUGGGGAAGGAUUUCAGUAGGGAGACAGGACGGGUCUGAUCCCUUGGGAAAUGCAAGCCACUCGCUGGGCGACAUUCAGGCAGGUGCAUCAGGGCGUGAUCAUGGGGAAGACGAUGCACUGCCAAGCCCAAGUGGCCCCAGUGGGUUUGGGGAAAUAUUGGGAAAUGCUUACGAAUAGGCAGGGCAGAGCUAUGUUAUGAGAAAUCUGGAAAGCCAAGUACAUAUGUUGUAGGUUUGUUGUGGUAGGACAUAGUCAAAGUGUUGGAGGAUUUUGCAUGACACAGUGAUGCUGUUCUUUAGAGAAGACAAGACUGGGCUGCAGUUACAGGGCCAGCCAGUGGACACUGCUGGGGAGCCCAGAGCUUCCCAUGGAGAGACUGGAGCCGAGAGAGGGCAGGGUUCCUUCUGAAGAACAGGCUUCGUGCUGCCUUGGGUGUGUGGGAGCUGGCUUCCCUUUCCAUUGUGUUUGUGAUGAUAAAUCCUGCACUUGGGAUCUUUCCCCAGGUUACUCCCCUUAGACAACCAAGGCUCCUGCAAGGCUGGAAGAGAAAGGCCCCCCUUACUUUAAAGAAAAAUGGUUGCCCCUUACCCUGCCCCUAACAACUGGCAGGGUUUGUCAGCCCAAGCCACAGAAAUUCCAAGACCAGAGAGAAAGCAACCUUAAACCCCAGCUCAGUGUUCUUAAUGUCAGAGAUAGUAAUCUUGAAAAAUGAGUCUUUUCUCUCUGGAGGGCACUUAGGUCUAGAUACAGAAUAUCCAUGUUGUGCAGAGCAUAGUGUCAGGCCCACCGUCGGCUUUUCCAGACAUUAAUCCAUUUCAAGACCAUACUGUGUGUCUUCAAGCCAUGAGAAUUAAGUGGAAAUAAUGGAUGCCCAUCUAGAAGGUAGCUACUGCCCUGUGACUAGAACUCGACACUUCAAUAAGUAUUCCAAUACUUUGUGCAAGCCAGUGGAAUGGGCAGAAAGGGGGCCUAGAGGAGAAAAGAUUACGCUUUUCAGCCAUGGAGGUGCCUGGCUGAGACUCACUAUAUCAGAAGACAGAUGCACAAGAAGAAAGCACAUACAUGUAUUCAAUGUAAGUUUUAUGUAACAUGGGAGCCUUCAGAAAUGAAGACCCAAGGAAACAGGGAAAUCUAUGGAUGUUUAGGUUUGAUGAAGACUUGGACAGUCAUGCAGAAAUAUGAUUGGACAAAGUGGGUGUGACCUAAUGGUUAUAAAAUGAGGGGAACUUAGCAAGGCCUUUGUUCAGAUUCGUCUUGGUGUUUUUUUGUCUUCAUUCCUUUCCCCCCAAUAUAAGGAACAGUCUUCUGUAAUGAGAGUCUUAUGACUUAUUUUAGAGAAAGGCCAGAGAAUUCUUUCAUGGCCUGCUUCAGGGGAGAAUGGUGGAAGAAGGUCAGAGAGACCUUCCUGCUUCUGCUGUCUCCUUAAAUGCCAGCAUGUCAUAUUCUAGGGUAGCGUGUUCUGGUCCCUGUUACUCAUCUUGUAUUGUCCUUCAAGCGGCAUCUUCCUGCUUCAUUUCUUAGUCCUGCUUUAUUUACGGCUUGCUCUUAUCUUUCUCCCUCUUUCCUUUCUUCUUUACAAAGUAGAUUCUCCUGGCAAGGUAGAAUUGCAGUGCUCUUUCAAGGACUGAAUGGCUGUUGCAAUACGUGUGGCUUUUCAUGCCUGUCAUCUAUAUAGAGCCAUAUUCAAAUAGGACGACCGGGGCUGGUUAGAGAUGUCAGGAUUUUAGUGCACCUACUGAAAUGCACACUCUGGCCUCCACCAAGAGAGGGACAUGGAAACAGGCCUAGGGAAUGUAGUACUUUUGAUCUUUAUCCAUACUCCUCCCUCCCUCUUACAACUCUCACAAAAUUUGCCCUCAAAAGACACCUUUCAUAAAAAGUCAAACAUCUCACUUCCUUCUAUAACUUCCCUGACUGGUUUGUAUUCAUUUGAGCUUCUCUUGCAAAGCUGAGCCUCGCUUUGAAAACUCUGGGAUCUAUUUCAUUCUAUAUGCUGUGCACUUCACAUGAGUUCCUUCUGUGCAAGCUGGAGACUCCUCUGGGCUCCUUCCCUGAGUGUUACGCUGGCUUCUUCCUAGACUUCUCAUUCAGCUCGGUGUGUGUGUGUGCGUGUGUGUGUGUGUGUGCACGCAUGUGAGCAUUCACCCCCUAGCUGCAGGUGUAAGGGAUGCAGGGAUGGAACUCUUCCAUCAGAGGAUCACUAAAGGCAUACUAAUUAACUUGUUCUCUUUUUUUUCUCUGAAAUAAUUUUUCUCUUGGACAUAUUGAGAAGUAAAAGAUUUCAUUUUUCACUGAAAAAUAAAAUGUUCAUGCUACCAACAGCCUGCUUUGGAUUUCUGAAAGAUAUCUGCAAGGCCAGGAAGCACACUGCAGCUAGGCUUAAUGCUGAAGGGCCCAAUCCUCCUUUGAACAAAGGAGCCCUCGAUUUACGCCUCUAUGGCCCAUUUUAGCAAGUUCAAUCUUUCCAUUAACCCCUGGUAACCAUAAUGACUUCCUAAUACCAGUAAAUUAACAAAUACCGGGGUGCCACCAAAUGCAUCCCUGAAGUGCCUUUGGUGUGGUCCCCGGCCUGCUGAAACGAAGCGUGGGCCCCGCCUUUGUUCUUCCCCAGGACUUUUCUUGUGGGCUCACAGCACUUUGAAUCUCAAAUGAGCUGCCUAAUUAAUCUCCACAACUAUCCUGUGAGACUUGUCCAUUAUCUUCACUUUGCAGAUAGUAACAAUUUAUAGGACUUGGCUGAGGUCACAGGAAAAUUAGCAUCAGAGCCAGAAUAAAAUUCUGAGUUCCUAAACCCCUUUCCUCUUAUCCUGUUCCCUAGACAACAUCAUUUCAUCCUCUUGGUAUAAAAUUAGUAAGUGUGGCGGGGCCGUAUUGCAUCGUAAUGAACUACUGUUUGGUACAUGUGACCUAGAGGCUAAGGGCUUUUUUUUUUUUUAAAUGCACAGUCUGAAAAGGUACUAAAACAAUUAUUUUUGGAAUAUGUCUUACAGAAUGGCUUUUAGACGCCAUGUGCCCAUUCGUCUCCAUGAAAGGAAUGUCAUUUACACAACCCACUGAACAUCUCCGUGGUUCAGGUAGUCCUGUGCCAGGACCUGGAGAAGACGCUGACCCUCAGGUGUUUUCUUUUUUGCUGAUAAAGUGUGGGUGAAAUGUGUUGGACUUGGUGCAUGCUGCAAUAAUUGCAAAUGAGAUGAUCUGCACAUGAAUUUUCUUGGUGUGAUUUUGUUUGAUCUUUCUCGGUGUGGUUCUGUAAUGGCAAGAGACAUCUUCCUCUGCAUCAGAGUAUGAAACAUCUUAAAAGGCAUUGCAUGGCUGAAGUGCAGGUCUGUAUUUUUUAGAACUAGCUAUUUGACAGGAAAGGGUGUAAAUCCACAUUGUGUUCAUUCAAUUCCACAAGCAUUCAUUGAACACCAUCUCAUGACAAGCCAGUGCCAGGGGCCGUGAAUGGGGCUGGAGGCAGACACAUUCCCAGGGUGACUUUAGAGUGGCCUCUCCUGUGUGCUCAUUUGGAAAAUCAGAAGGAAGAUGACGCAGGCUUGAUUCUGUCCGGCUCAGAUGUUCAAGAACAUUGUGAUCACUUCAGAUAAUGUUUAUCUUAUUUAUGAUGUUGCACAGAUGUUCAAGAACAUUGUGAUCACUUCAGAUAAUGUUUAUCUUAUUUAUGAUGUUGCACUGACACAGACUGUCAAGGCUGAAUUCCUACCCUGCCUGUCAACAAGUAAACAAGUCCUUAAGCGGAUUAUGGGAACUAACUAAGGAGUAAUUAGAAGCAUUUUGUCAAGUCACUAGAAUGGAAUCCCAGGGUGGACCCUUUAGGAGAGGGAGAGUUCUUUGAUAAUGCAAACACAUUCUUUAGAUUCCAGGUUCCAGUGUGGCUUCUGGGUGGCAAAGUGAGAGGAGCUUGCUUUGGAGAAGUGGAGCUGGCCUUAGGAAGGCGUGUUUGACUCUGUUGACAAUUAUCAGUCAGGAGCUAGAUCUGGGUAGGACAGUUAGAAACACUGACAUAAUUCUUACUUUGUUUUGUUGGCCUUAAGAAUAAAAAUUUUAAAAUACAGAUGAUUAUUCUAUACUUUCAGGUUUAUUAUCAACCUGUAGCACUCAAAAGCUUUCAAUUAUUGUUAAUAUAUUUGAGUUAAAUAUCAAAGUAAUAGGCAUUACUUACUUUUAGAAAAUUGCAACCAAUAAGAGGCAUUUCAUUUGUCGUGCAUUUAACUUUUGAGACAUAAUGAAUAGUUUCCUAAAACUUUUCAAAGCUGAAUGUUAUGGAAGAAACAUUCUCACCAUAACUCUUAAAAAUUGCAUAUCCUUACAAGUGAAUACCAUAUCAAAAUAUGAAAAUCAUUUCAGAUAUUUAUUAACUACUUAAAACUGACAAAUGGUAAACAGAAAUGUCAUUUCUUUCAUUAGUACAGAGAAAGCUCCCUCACUCCUCCCAAAUAUCUAUUGUGAUGAAUUGGUUGAUUAUUUUAAACAAUGUAGUUGCACAAAUAGACAUUAAUGUGAAUGAUGAUAGCAUGUCACUUCUGAGGAAUUGCAUUUAGGAGGUACGUGUAUGACAGCUUAUGUGUAAUCUUCAGGCUUGUAUUUAUGCCACAAGAAAAUAGACUUUCUUCAAUGAUUCACUUCAUCACAGGUGGCCUACCUACCUGAAAGACAUCUUCAUGCCAAAGUUGGCUGACUUUCUCAUGCACAACGAACCCAUAUUCCCGUAGGAAUUGAAGGAUAUGACUAAUCAGUUGAAAACAGUUCUUUCAUUUGUUUAACAUGUCAAACUCAGGAACAAGCCCCAAGGUUCAAGUUUUACUGAAAGACUUUUACCAUAGUGCUUUUUUGACAUAGAAAAGAAAAACAGAACAAUAAAAAAAAGAAAGUCAACAAUUUUUUCAGUGAAGAGACUCACAGAGAUUGAAGGUUCUCCGAAAACAUUCAGGCCAAUGCAUCAUUUUACAUAUGAGAAAACUGAAGUCCAGAGGUGACAAAAUUUGACAAAUCUACAUAGCUAAAAUGAAACCAAACAGACUCGUAAUCCUACUUGGUGCUGGAGGGAGGCUGCAAUCUGGGGAACUUGUUAUCCAGACAUCCCAGCUGGUAGAGUGUGCUACUACAUAGAUAAAGUCACUGUGGUUAGUGUCUAGCCUCAGCUUUAAAGUUCUGGAAAAUCAAAUUUGUCAAUAUUCCCAUGGUUAUUUAGAGUUAGGGGAACUAAUAUAAAUUCCAAAAUAUAAAUUUAUAAAAGAAAAUAUUGUGACUUUUCUUGUUCUCUAUGUAGAACAUGCCCAUAAUCUUCCAUAAUCAUCCUUAUGACAUGCAGCAUCCUUACAAUGACUGAGAAGUGGUAAAUUUGGAAGCUUCUUAGGUGAGUGUCGAGAGGGCCGAGGAACAGAAUAGUCUCGGGACAUCUAGUCAUCCCAAUUUUACAAUUGAGCUAUAGGCUGAUAAUACCACUGUCUCUGUUCUCUAAAUAAGCAUGGCAAAAUUGUGGUUUUCUGAAUGUCGUUCAUCAAUAAUCCAAGCUGGCUUUUUCACAGUUAGUGUCUAGAUAAGGUUCAACAACAUACAUGUGGUUUCUCAUGGUUGUAUUUUAUUUACAUUCUAUUCCCCCUUUCAGACCAAUCAAUCACCUUGAUUGAAGUUCUGACUGUGGUCUUGCUAAGAAUUCUUCUGGAAUAUGAUCCCUUUUGCUUGUCUCUUCAGCUUGCUUGGCAACUUUCUACCCACUUUCCUCAAAAUUCCGAGACAUCAGACUCACCUCCAGUUCAUCUCCAGUUCAUGUGACAGCUGCUGUCCCUGCUGGUGAAGUGGCUGUGCUGUCUGGGGUAUACACCCUGGGGUUCAUCGUCACACACCAAGAAUUCAGGACACAAUCACAUGUGGGUGGGUUAGGGAGUGGAAAAUUUAAUAGAUAGAAGAAAGGAGAGAGGAGAGCAGCUCUUAGAGAGAGAGAGAGAGAGAGACAUCUGAAAAGUGGGGAG
rnacentral:lncRNA from 1 species